rnacentral:rRNA from 1 species
UACGUAGGUGGCAAGCGUUGUCCGGAAUUAUUGGGCGUAAAGCGCGCGCAGGCGGUCCUUUUAAGUCUGAUGUGAAAGCCCACGGCUCAACCGUGGAGGGUCAUUGGAAACUGGGGGGACUUGAGUACAGAAGAGAAGAGUGGAAUUCCACGUGUAGCGGUGAAAUGCGUAGAGAUGUGGAGGAACACCAGUGGCGAAGGCGACUCUUUGGUCUGUAACUGACGCUGAGGCGCGAAAAGCGUGGGGAGCAAACAGG